AUGCACGCUCGCGAUCGGCUUAACCCAUGCCAGUCGAGGGGCAGCAUGGUCUUAGCUUGCUAAGGCUGAUGGCGACCGGCGCACGGGUGCGUAACGCGUAUGCAACUUGCCUCACAGAGGGGGAUAACCCGUCGAAAGACGGACUAAUACCGCGUACACUCUAUGUUGGGCAUCCAAUGUAGAGGAAAUGAAAUUCGCUGUGAGAUAGGCAUGCGUCCCAUUAGCUAGUUGGUGAGGUAACGGCUCACCAAGGCGACGAUGGGUAGGGGAACUGAGAGGUUGAACCCCCACACUGGUACUGAGACACGGACCAGACUCCUACGGGAGGCAGCAGUGAGGAAUAUUGGUCAAUGGGCGAGAGCCUGAACCAGCCAAGUCGCGUGAAGGAUGACUGUCUUAUGGAUUGUAAACUUCUUUUAUACGGGAAUAACAAGAGUCACGUGUGGCUCCCUGCAUGUACCGUAUGAAUAAGCAUCGGCUAACUCCGUG
rnacentral:rRNA from 1 species